AGGGCUUUAACAAUGGGUUCCUGAACCUUAACCAGUUACAGUCUGCCUUUAAGUCGGAUGACUUCCUGAACUGGCACGUCAUCACUGAUAUGUUCAAAAAGGCGCUUCCUUUCAUUAACUGGGAAAUGUUACCUAAGGUGAAAGGACUGAGAAGUGCAGUUCCUGAUUCCCAGUGACGAUUCUCUUUAAGACCUAGGACCUAGGCUGACCCCAUUAGAGGAGGAGGCAAGCCUGGAAUCCGGAAGCCCACCCUACGACAAAUC